GCUAAGUUAAUUUUUGUGAUUUGAAGUGUAAUGUCUAAAAAUUUGUACUAAAUUUCAUUUUUCCCGAACAUUGCACUACGCUAGAGCCCACCUUAAUUCUAAUAUGACAGUGCCUAAAAGUUGUGGUUUUUCACUAUUCUUGUUGAAUAAAUAAUGAAGAGGUACUAGCAAAAUUUAAAAAAAAAAUGUACAAAAAAUAUACAUUGUUUAUCGAAUAACAGUGAUGAACAUAUUUUUUUUUAGGUUUAGGUUAAGCAAAUGAGUCACAAUUUGCUCGGAGUUAAAAUCGUUUCAAAGAAGAGAAUCUGGAAUCGUUUUAAAUUCCAAGUGUGUGCAAUUAUAACAGCAAAUAAAAUAUGAAAAAAAGAAAAGAAAAAAAAAACUACGAGUUGCAUGGAAGCUAGUUUGUCGACCGGCUAAACAACAGUCGGUAUGUUACAUAGUUUUGUUUGUUUGUGUUGAGUGUGCCCCAGCUGGUUUUAACUCAUUUAAUUGGUACUUAAAUCUCCACACAAAAAAUAUUUUAGUGUGCUUUAAAAAAAGAAGUCUAAUUUAUUUUCGAAUUCUGAUUUUCUACUAUCCAAUUACUUGUGAUAGUAAAAUCACUGAGAUAAGUUAACAUUCUUAUGUUCUGAAUAUCUAUUUCGUGAAUUGGAUGAUAUAUGUCUGCAUGUGAUUAAUAAUCGUAAUUAAAUAUUUGAUGUUUUAAAAACAACUUAUAUUCGAUUAUGAAACCGAUCGCAAAUAGGUCAUACCCACCCUAACAAUCCUCCAAACAAUUGCGUCCCCUACCCACCAUGGAUGGGCUAUGGGGCAUACAUCAAAC
rnacentral:lncRNA from 1 species